CUCCAGGCGGCUGUGACCCUGCUGGAGUGCGGGGGGGACCUCCUGCCCCUCAGGCGGUCCCUGCGCCUCCUCUGCCGAGGGUCCGGGUUCAGUUUCGGGAGCUACGACAUGUUCUGGGUGCGCCAGAGACCCGGGCAGGGGCUGGAAUGGCUCGCGUGGAUCAGGAACGAUGGUGGCAACUCCGGCUAUGCGGAUUCAGUCAAGGGCUGGUUCACGAUCUCCAGGGACAACGGGCAGAGCUCGGUGACGCUGACCAUGAACAACCUCAAGGACGAGGAUUCCGGGUCCUAU